UGAGGAAUAUUGGUCAAUGGGUGCAAGCCUGAACCAGCCAUCCCGCGUGAAGGAUUAAGGUCCUAUGGAUUGUAAACUUCUUUUGUAUAGGGAUAAACCUACCCUCGUGAGGGUAGCUGAAGGUACUAUACGAAUAAGCACCGGCUAACUCCGUGCCAGCAGCCGCGGUAAUACGGAGGGUGCAAGCGUUAUCCGGAUUUAUUGGGUUUAAAGGGUCCGUAGGCGGACUUAUAAGUCAGUGGUGAAAUCCUGUCGCUUAACGAUAGAACUGCCAUUGAUACUGUAAGUCUUGAGUAUAUUUGAGGUAGCUGGAAUAAGUAGUGUAGCGGUGAAAUGCAUAGAUAUUACUUAGAACACCAAUUGCGAAGGCAGGUUACCAAGAUAUAACUGACGCUGAGGGACGAAAGCGUGGGGAGCGAACA
rnacentral:rRNA from 1 species